GGAAUGUUCUGCUUUGAAGUGGUCGGUCUUGCGAUCAAGAUACUGUUAGGACUCAGAUAAGCUUGGAGAAAUGCAUUAUUGUGAAGUUAUUUUGUUAGGACAUUGCAGUUGUUCUGCAGUUACUCAUUUCUUAUUCUUUUUUGGAAUAGCUAUUUCAGCCCAAGACCAACAAAGAAACAACCGACAACUCAUACGAAAAAGAGGAAAUGACACGCUUCUCCCACGUCCUCAGCAAACUCUGUUGUAGGUGAAAACAACGUUCAAGCGCUGAAAAUGGACCAUCCACAAAUCGUGUUCAAGAAAUGGACUUAUGCAAUUACACAAAUAUUCAUUGAAGUCAUGCUUCAAGAGGCUAAAAAAGAAGAAUCAAUUAACUCAAAAAAGACGAGGACUUUUAAUCCCCACCAAUGGGUGACCAUUUAUGAGGAGUUUGGGAAAAGGACAAACACAGUGGGUUACUCAAUUCAAAAGCUGAAAGAAAAUUUUUCCCGUUUGAAACACGAGCUCUCAGUCUUCAAAGACCUAAAAGAUCAUAGUGGGUUCGGUUGGGACCCCGUAAAACAAACCGUCACUGCACCUGAACCUAUGUGGUAGGAAUAUAUAUAGGGACAUAAGGAUGCCAAACAAUUCAAAUCCAAAGGCCUUGACCAUUAUGAUGUUUUGGUAGAGCUUUGUGAAGGCACGUUGGCCACAGGUGCAUUUUCUGAGUAUUCUAGUACCCUAAAGGGCCCCACGACAGAGGCAGAGCUCGAAAUGAUGAAGUAAGGCAAACCCAUUUGAAUGGCAAAUCAAAUGUCGAUGGAUUCGCGAGGGAAGAGAAAGUCCGAUGGAAGUAGUAGUAAGUCAAUCAAGAUUGAUGAGAAGAGUCGAGCAUAUGCUACUUUUGGAUAUGCACAACAAAAAAGAGGAGAGUACUUCGAAAAAUUGACAGCAGAUUAAUUGUCUAUUGCCGAUUGUAUUAAGGCCCUGGAUGAAAUUGCGUCUUUUUUCAAUGAGGAUCAAUAUUACAAGGCCUAUGACAUACUUGCUUUCGGUCCCUCUGUUGGGAGGCAAGGGUUCAUGGGGCUAUUAACUAACAGGAGGAUUGGUUGGGUGGAAUGAAUAGAGCGUCAAUCGUGAUUAACAUCUUGUUUAGGAACGGAAAGUUUAACUUCGAAACAAAGACUAG